UUGCGAGAGAGAGGUUCUGCAAUUUCAAUCUUCUUCGAUUUUCAUCCAUCACUACUUAACCCAAUGACCCAGUCGAUCCCUUUCUCAUUUCUGUUAACUACAUCAUGACACUGAUCAAGGUUACGCCAUUUGCAGAGAGUAGUUUUCAGAACAUGAGUUGUGAUACAUGGGACCGCUACAUGUUUUCUACAACUGUAUUUGCUUGAAUGAGAUGGCAAGGCAAGCUGGGCCAACUGAGACUGCAAGUUGUCACAAGUAAGAGGAAACUAAUCAACGUGCAAAACUAUGUGAUUUAAUUAUGUGACAGAAUGUAUAGUUGGUGGAUUUUGCACUACAUAUAUGUAUUCCCACCUAGCUUUGAAUUAAGGAAGGUCAGUCCUCUAGGGUGCUUUUGUUUUCUUUCGCUCAUGAUUCAGAUGACAAGCCAAGUUACAAUGAAAUCAGUGCUUGCAAAUCAUUGUAGAUCGACCAUAAGCUAGGUAUACUAUUAUAUUCUAUCAAUUCUGUGCAACUGCUUUGUACAACAAAUUUACAAUUGUAUAAACCUUAGGAAGCAAAACCCGCGUCAUCGCGCGGGAGACAUCAUCUAGUUACAUGUACUAAAGCGCUAUCUCCCCGUGAACAGUAACAUGCCAUAUUGAUUAACUCUUUUACCCCUUUUUGUUUCUUAAUUAUGACACUGCCAUUCAACAUUCUGAGGGUGACAGAGAGACCGGGAGAGGUGUCUUCUGGGUCUUUUAUGAGAGGAAGAGGUCUUCUGCGAGAUUACGGAAAGAAGAAAAGGGAUGUGAGAGGUCUUCUGCGAGAGACAUGCACAGAAAGAAGAAGAGGGGAAUUCACAUCGUGAGACUGAUCGGAGAGAGAAAGAGAAGAGGGGGACGAGAAGAAGAUGAAGAAGAGGAAUCUGGAUUGCCCGACAUAGAGAGAAAGAGAAGUGCGCCGAUUAGGUCCUCCAUAGGCAGAAGGAGUUUCUGGGUAUUUUACUUUUCCACUUCUACCAGAAGCAUGUACGAUUAUUUCUGUAUUCUUCGAUGAUGAUUGCUUUAAAUUCUCGGCGUGACAUCAUUGAGGUGACGCUAACUUUAUGUUCUUUGGGGACCUUGAAGAGAAUAGAAUUUUAGCAGGGUAAAUGGAACCCAAUCAUAGCAAGUGUUUAUUUCUUCGGUUAGUAAGUUUACUGAUGGUACUGCUACAUAUGAAAUAGAUUGACAUAAAUAAUAUCCCAGUGACUUCACUGAUUUGUUCCAACUCACCUCCACAAAGUAUUUCAAUGACGUAGCUUUGAAAAAUCCGAGCCAAGCUUACAUUUUUAUCGAUUAUGGAACUUGGGUUUGUAUUUCAUUUUUAAUUGUUUCAUGGGAAUUGCAGAAAAAUUUGUUAGAAAUCCUUAUAUGAUUUCUCAGUUUAAGAAAUAUAGUUUAAGUUUUGUAAUUUAUUGCUCAGUUGCAAUUCUGCAAUCUAAAAUAUUUGCUAGCUUGAAAUCAAGAUUUGCAAUAUAAAAUAGAUAAGCCCCUUUCAUGUUAAAGCUAGGUUAUGUUUUUCUUUUGUCUAAUUUCUGUUUGGUAUG